rnacentral:rRNA from 1 species
AGAGUUUGAUUCUGGCUCAGGACGAACGCUGGCGGCGUGCUUAACACAUGCAAGUCGAACGAUGAAGCCUAGCUUGCUAGGUGGAUUAGUGGCGAACGGGUGAGUAAUACGUGAGUAACCUACCUUUAACUCUGGGAUAAGCCUGGGAAACUGGGUCUAAUACCGGAUACGACCAAUCUCCGCAUGGGGUGUUGGUGGAAAGCGUUAUGUAGUGGUUAUAGAUGGGCUCACGGCCUAUCAGCUUGUUGGUGAGGUAAUGGCUCACCAAGGCGACGACGGGUAGCCGGCCUGAGAGGGUGACCGGCCACACUGGGACUGAGACACGGCCCAGACUCCUACGGGAGGCAGCAGUGGGGAAUAUUGCACAAUGGGCGCAAGCCUGAUGCAGCGACGCCGCGUGAGGGAUGACGGCCUUCGGGUUGUAAACCUCUGUUAGCAGGGAAGAAGAGAAAUUGACGGUACCUGCAGAGAAAGCGCCGGCUAACUACGUGCCAGCAGCCGCGGUAAUACGUAGGGCGCGAGCGUUGUCCGGAAUUAUUGGGCGUAAAGAGCUUGUAGGCGGUUUGUCGCGUCUGCUGUGAAAGGCCGGGGCUUAACUCCGUGUAUUGCAGUGGGUACGGGCAGACUAGAGUGCAGUAGGGGAGACUGGAACUCCUGGUGUAGCGGUGGAAUGCGCAGAUAUCAGGAAGAACACCGAUGGCGAAGGCAGGUCUCUGGGCUGUAACUGACGCUGAGAAGCGAAAGCAUGGGGAGCGAACAGGAUUAGAUACCCUGGUAGUCCAUGCCGUAAACGUUGGGCACUAGGUGUGGGGGACAUUCCACGUUUUCCGCGCCGUAGCUAACGCAUUAAGUGCCCCGCCUGGGGAGUACGGCCGCAAGGCUAAAACUCAAAGAAAUUGACGGGGGCCCGCACAAGCGGCGGAGCAUGCGGAUUAAUUCGAUGCAACGCGAAGAACCUUACCAAGGCUUGACAUAUACUGGACCGCAUCAGAGAUGGUGUUUCCCUUCGGGGCUGGUAUACAGGUGGUGCAUGGUUGUCGUCAGCUCGUGUCGUGAGAUGUUGGGUUAAGUCCCGCAACGAGCGCAA